AAAUAAAAUAAAAUAAGAUUGCGGGAAAGAUUUAAGAUGAGUAAAAAUAUAAACAAUCAUAACAAUAAAAAUAAAUAUAAUAAUGACAACCGAAAUAAGUUGAGAAGAUGGUUAAGUUAUUUCGAAAGGUAACUUGAUGUUAUAUUCCCUUGUAAUUUUUUAUUUUUUUGGGUCUACGAUGAAGCAAAAGAUUGAACUCAUGACAUCUAACAUACUGAUAUCAGUGGAACAUAGAAGCAACACAAACAAACUUCACGCAGCAAGAAGAAAGAACAUAGGAAGAGAGAAUUGUUUUAACACUAUUAUGAUUUAGAA
rnacentral:lncRNA from 1 species